CUUCUUAGCGAUAGGCAAGGAAUUUCUAAGCAUUAAAGGACACAAGACGCAUUAAAGACAAGUGAAUAACCCUUAGAUAUAUAUAUAUAUAUAUAUAUAUAUGUAUAUAUACAUAUAGAAUUGGGGAGCAUGGCUCGAAAAAUUUUAGUCAGUUAAGAAGUAGACAGCUAUACGCAACCACCUCCAGUGUUUCGUGAUCCACCACGUAUCAAAGUAAAAUUUUCUAUUUGUACUAGAAAUUUGAGAGGAUAUAUAUUUGCAUACGCCGGGAUACCUCCAUUAAUUGGUCGGAAUGGUUUCAAAAUAUUUGGUUAUCCUUCUUCUCGUGGCAUCCUCCACAUUUGUGCAUGCGAAGGUCGUCCUGGAUAACGUGAUAUAUGACGACCGAGCGGAUUGCCGUCGGGACGGGUACGGCGUCACGGGCUGCUAUGUGAUGGGAUACAACAGGGACGCCGCUUGUCGUGACAGUUUCCAUGCGGGGUCAAAAUUUGCAGGAUAUUUGGAUGAUAAUGAUGGCUGUUUUCUGACGCAUAGGUUCUGUUGCAAGUCAUAAAAUGUGGAAGAAACGCUUCACAAUAAAAUUUUUAAUUAAUUAUUAAUUAAGUUAAUUUUAUUUUAACAUUUGUAUUUUGUCGAUUACGACGCAAAAUAAAUUGGAAUUGUUGUCAGAAUAUUUAAACUUAAA